rnacentral:lncRNA from 1 species
UCGAAGAAGAGCACAUGUUUUUUUUUGUUAAAAAAAAGUCUGAAGAGCAUAUGUUUCGUUUGAGAAUUUGAUGUUUAAAAUUUAUAUGAAUCUUAGGAAAACAAAAUUAAGAUCUAGGGAGUUUUAAUACGUGACCGUUUUUAUCAUCUAGGUUCUUUUAAAAAUAUAUUUUCUGUCUAUUAACAUGUGAUUAAUUUGUUAAUUUCUUUCAUUUUAAUUAAAUACUAGUUUUCUUUUUUACGAAAUGUUAAAUUUAUUAAUCAUCAGCUAUACGAAUAUUUAUGUACAAAAGAA